UAUUCAACAGCAGAGUACUGUGCACCAGUCUGGUCCUGGGGUCUCAUUUAUAAAACAUUCCGUAGAUUUCAUCCUAAAAGUGUACGUAUGCACAAAAGCUAGAUUUUGCAUACGCACAAAAGUUUUCAGAUCUAUAAAACCAUGUGUACGCCAGAACCUGCGCAAAAAUCCCUUCAUAAAUCUCAGUCAGGGGAAGAUGUGCGUACUUGCAUCUCCACCCUGUCUCCUCCCCGAAAUCACUAUAUAUGGAGCUUACAACACCUAGUUUUACUAUGCAUAACCUCAUUUGCAUAUAAUUUCCAUGCAUAUUCCCAUCCACGUAACACUAUAUUUAACACCGUUAAAGGUAAAAGACAUCAAGGAAAUAUCCAUAUCAAAAUCCAUAAAAAAUUUUUUUUUAUUUUUAUUAACGAUUAACAAGAUGGCGCCGCCGAGUUCGGUCGCCGUCCAGGUCGCUCCGCUUAGAUUGUGUUUUUAUUUCCUCUUUUACCUACUUUUGCUUUCUCUUUUUGCACACAUAACCUCUGCACUGAUCACUUAUGACAAAGGAACACUUUUGGACAUUGGAUACCGCUUCACUAACCUGUUUCAGGACACUUUAUCCUCCAACCCAUCGUGGCCAUCUGAGAUUCUCCGGAACACCGAGAAGAACAAUGGCCACCUGAAUAACCACCCGAGGCGACGGAUCAAGAAACACCGCGGGAAACGUGCUGGGGUCCGCAACAGACUGAGAAAAAGAGCUCACAGUCCUCCUCUACCGAGCAUUCUGCUCGCCAAUGUCCAGUCUCUGGAGAAUAAGAUGGACGAUCUUAGAGCCAGGAUAAGUUUCCAACGGGACAUUAGGGACUGUAACAUCCUUUGUUUGUCUGAAACAUGGCUCACGCCCUCGGUCCCGGACGCUGCUGUAACGCCGUCUGAAAACUUCUCUGUUUUACGGAUGGACAGGACAGCCGAGGCCGGUAAAUCCAAAGGUGGAGGAGUGUGUUUCAUGAUUAACAAGAAAUGGUGUGACCCCAGGAAUAUCUCCACUCUGUCGCGCUCCUGCUCGCCUCAUCUGGAACAUUUAUCUAUUAUUUGCCGCCCAUUCUAUCUUCCCCGGGAGUUUUCAUCGAUCAUCGUUACUGCUGUCUACAUCCCACCACAAGCUGACACCGGUUUGGCUUUGUCCGAGCUUCACGAUGCGCUCAGCGGCAACAUCAACAAACAUCCUGAAGCUGCUGUUAUGUUCCAAGGCUGUGUCCUGAGUCCCCUGCUCUACUCUCUCUACACUCAUGACUGCGUGUCUUCCCACAGCUCCACAUCUAUUAUCAAAUUUGCUGAUGAUACUGUGGUUCUGGGUCUCAUUCACAACAAUAAUGAAACCGCAUACUUGGAUGAGGUAGAGAAAUUAACAUCAGGGUGCCAGGACAAUUGUCUCUCUCUGAAUGUGAGCAAAACUAAAGAGCUGAUUGUUGACUUCAGGAAGAGACAGCAGCAGCCCUAUACUCCACUUAUGAUCAGCGGGACCCCUGUGGAGAGGGUGAGCAGCUUCAAGUACCUCGGUGUAAACAUCUCAGAGGACCUGACUUGGACUACACACAUUCAAACACAGGUUAAUAAAGCCAGGCAAAGACUGUACCAUCUGNNNNNNNNNNNNNNNNNNNNNNNNNNNNNNNNNNNNNNNNNNNNNNNNNNNN
ensembl:lncRNA